rnacentral:rRNA from 1 species
UACAGAGGGGGCAAGCGUUGUCCGGAAUUACUGGGCGUACAGCGCGCGCAGGCGGUUGGUGACGUGCCGUGUCACAGCCCUGAGCUCAACUCAGGGUGGCCACGGUAGACGCACCGGCUGGAGGCAGGGAGAGGGAUGUGGAAUACCCGGUGGAGCGGUGAAAUGCGUAGAUAUCGUGAGGAACACCAGAGGCGAAGGCGGCUACCUGGACAAUUGCUGACGCUCAGGCACGAAAGCGUGGGGAGCAAAAGGG